CGGCUCCGCGCCCGCAGCCUCCCCAAGCCGGGGCUUCCCGCGACGCCUGCUGCAGCCACCUCGUCUCUGGCCCGCCGGCCGCCGGGAGGGAGGAGGAGGAGGAGAGAGGGAGGGAGGAGGGCGGCGAGGGAGAGGGGGCGGCGGGGAGGGAGAGAGGGUCCCGGGUGGGGGGAGGAGGGGCGAGCGCGGGCCGCGGCCAAGGGCUAGCGCGCGGGGAGGGCGCCGAGGGGCGGGGGCGGAGAGGGGGAGCACCCGCCGCGCCGGCCUGCCGCCCCCCCCCCCCCCGCCGCCGCCCAGUCACCAUCGCCGCCUCCGUCCCGCUCGGGGCCGGGCGUCCGGGGGGAGGGUCGGGCGCGGCGGUCCCCCGGCGCGGCGAGCGGGGCGGGCCGGCGGGCGGACGAGGCCCGGCCUCCGGAGGGGAGGGUCCUGCGGGCCCGGCGGGUGUUGGCGAAAGGGGAUCCCCGGGGGGAGGGGCGGAGGCCGGGGCCUGGGAGCCGCUCGCUGCGCCCGCCCGGCGGCGGUGCCUCCCGGAUCCAGCGAGGGUCCCCGGGCCGUGCCGGGAACCUCCGGGACGGGUGUCUCCGGAGCGCCGAGAGCGCGCACGGCCGGCGGGGUGGCGGGAGCGGCGAAGUCGGAGUCGGAGGGAGAGGCCCGGCUCCUCGGGCGGAGCGCGGGCCCCGGAGCGGUUCCCCAGGCUGGGCCCGAGCGCGAGAACGUCCGCCCGGUGGGCCCGGGGAAUCCAGAGCGGGCGGUGGGCUGGGGUGCCUGCACCCCCAUCCUCGCCUUCCUGUCCCGGAGAGGAGCCUCCGGCAUAAGUUUCCCUGUGCCGUGGGUCUCCAGAAACAUGCUGAGUCGACCGUACUUCCUUCCAUACAUCUGUUGAGCUCUGAUUAUAUGCCAGGGACUGUUCUAGGCACUGGGGAUGCAUCAGUGAACAAAGAGAAGCACAGAAAUGCCUGCCUUCAUAGACUGUGCGUCCUCGAACGUGGCAACACAGGAUGGUUUCAGAGGACCAGCUACUUUUUAUAAUGGAAAAAAAUCUAAAAAGGAAAUUUUUUAAGAAGCAAAAUGGAGGUUGGUAGAAAGACAAGUAGAAGUGAAAAAACAUCGUCAUACAUGGAAAAAGAAGAAAAAAAGAUUCAGGACAAGUAAAGGAAAAGAAAGUAAGAAAGAAAGUGCCUUCCAGAAGGUUGGGCCGAUCACCAGAUGCCUGGCCCUCAGCAGCCAUUGAAG
rnacentral:lncRNA from 1 species